rnacentral:lncRNA from 1 species
UGGCUACAGCGGUCCACGUACCAAGUGGGACCCAUUACAAAUGAUAUCAUGAAUCCACGGUAACUUGUAUGCAAUGUACUAACGGAUGGGAUCAUACCGGCACUAAUGCACCGGAUCCCAUAAGAAAUCCGCAGAUAAGCGUGUUUGGCUGAGAGUAGUACUAGGAUUGUUGACCUCCAGGGAAGUCCUAGUGUUGCAUCCCUUUUUAUUUUUAUUUUUUCUUANNNNNNNNNNNNNNNNNNNNNNNNNNNNNNNNNNNNNNNNNNNNNNNNNNNNNNNNNNNNNNNNNNNNNNNNNNNNNNNNNNNNNNNNNNNNNNNNNNNNAUUCAACUUAUUGCUCUAUUGAGGUUGUUCGAUUAUUUUUAUUUUUUUCAAAAAACUACAAACUAAUCGUACUAAGAUGGAUGCGUCCUCGGAAAUGCUUUGUUGUAGUAUAUUAUUUAUUAUUUCGAUUCCAAAGACGCUAAUACGUACGGAACUUCGUAAUUUUUAAACCGUCAUGACCUAUUCCGCCGAUAAUACCUUUUCGGAAAGCUCUCGAAAAGUUACUGAAUGGCAAUGUGUCGUCGUUCCUCUGGGCCUCAUUUUCGAACCCAAAUUUUGACGUUUUUGGUGUUUCCAUGAGGAUUUUGGGAUUUGGAAGAGAUUAAAAAAUCCGAAAACGUGUUCAGACAUGAUUUAUGCGUCUUUUAGGUAUAGAAGAGCACGUUGAAGCUGGCUAAAAUGGUCCUCGUAUCAAGUGGGACCCAUUACAAAUGAUCUCUUGAAUCCGCGGUAAAGGAUAUAUGCGAUUGCAUGCAAUGUACUAACAUAUGCGAUCAGUCCAGCACUAAUGCACCGGAUCCCAUCAUAACUCCGCAGUUAAGCGUAAUUGGGCAAGAGUAGUACUAGGUUAAGUGACUUCCCGGGAAGUCCUCGUGUUGCAUCCCUUUUUAUUUUUAGUUUUUCUUAAAACUUCUCAUUUUUGGUUUAAACAACAAGUAUCAUUAUAAUUCAACUUGUUUCUCUAUUGAGGUUGUUCGAUUAUUUUAUUUUUGUUGAAAAAACUACAAAGUAAUUGUAUUAAGAUGGAUGUGAACCGGAAAUGCUAUGUUGUAGUUUAUUCUUUAUUAUUUUCGAUUCCACAGACGCUAACACGUACGAAACGCGGUAACNNNNNNNNNNNNNNNNNNNNNNNNNNNNNNNNNNNNNNNNNNNNNNNNNNNNNNNNNNNNNNNNNNNNNNNNNNNNNNNNNNNNNNNNNNNNNNNNNNNNGAACACAAAUUUUGACGUUUAGGGUGUUUCCAUGAGGAUUUUGGGAUUUGGAAGAGAUUAAAGGAUCCGAAAACGUGUUCAGACAUGAUUUAUGCGUCUUUUAGGAAUAGAAGAGCACGUUGAAGCUGGCUAAAAUGGUCCUCGUAUCAAGUGGGACCCAUUACAAAUGAUCUCUUUAAUCCGCGGUAAAGUAUAUAUGCGAUUGCAUGCAAUGUAGUAAGAAAUGCGAUCAGUCCAGCACUAAUGCACUGGAUCCCAUCAUAACUCCGCAGUUAAGCUUACUUGGGCAAGAGUAGUACUAGGUUGGGUGACUUCCCGGGAAGUCCUCGUGUUGCAUCCCUUUUUAUUUUAAUUUUUUCUCAAAACUUCUCAUUUUUGGUUUAAACAACUAGUAUCAUUAUAAUUCAACUUGUUGCUCUAUUGAGGUUGUUCGAUUAUUUUAUUUUUCUUGAAUAAACUACAAAGUAAUCGUAUUAAGAUUGUUGCAAAUGCUAUGUUGUAGUUUAUUCUUUAUUAUUUUCGAUUCCACAGACGCUAAUACGUACGAAACGCGGUAACUUUUAAACCGUGAGGACAUACUCCGCCAAUAAUACCUUUUCGGAAAGCUCUCGAAAAGUUACAAAGUGGCGAUUGGUCUCUGUUCCUUCGAGCCUCAUUUUCGACCAUCAAUUUUGACGUUUAGGGUGUUUCCAUGAGGUUUUUGUGAUUAAAGGAUCGAAAAAAGUGUUCGGACUUGAUUUAUGCGUCUUUACCGAAUAAAAGAGCACGUUGAAGCUGGCUAAAGCGGUCCACGAAUCAAGUGGGACCCACUAAAAAUGAUCUCUUGAGUCCGGGGUAAAGGAUAUAUGCGAUUGUAUGCAAUGUACUAAAGGAUGCGAUCAAACCAGCACUAAUGCACGGAUCCCAUUAGAACUCCGCAGUCAAGCGUGCUUGGGCGAGAGUACUACUAGGAUGAAUGACCUCUCGGGAAAUCCUCUUGUUGCAUCCCUUUUUUGUUUUUUUCUUUUAACCUCUCAUUUUUGUUUAACCAACUAGUACCAUUAUAAUUUAAAUUGUUGCUCUAUUGAGGUUGUUCGAUUAUUUAAUUUUUUUGAAAAAACUACAAAGUAAUCGUAUUAAGAUGGAUGCGUCCCCGGAAAUGCUAUGUUGUAGUAUAUUCUUUAUUAUUUUCGAUUCCAAAGACGCUAAUACGUACGGAACGCCGUAACUUUUAAACCGUGAGGACAUAUUCCGCCAAUAAUACCUUUUCGGAAAGCUCUCGAAAAUUUACUGAAUGGCAAUGGGUCUUCGUUCCUCUGGGCCUCAUUUUCGAACCCAAAUUUUGACGUUUAGAUGUUUCCAUGAAGAUUUUGGGAUUUGGAAGAGAUUAAAGGAUCUGAAAACGUGUUCAGACAUGAUUUAUGCGUCUUUUAGGAAUAGAAGAGCACGUUGAAGCUGGCUAAAAUGGUCCUCGUAUCAAGUGGGACCCAUUACAAAUGAUCUCUUGAAUCCGCAGAUAAGCGUGCUUGGGCGAGAGUAGUACUAGGUUGGGUGACUUCCCGGGAAAUCCUCUUCUUGCAUCCCUUUUUCUGUGUUUUUUUCUUUUAACCUCUCAUUUUUGUUUAACCAAAUAGUACCAUUAUAAUUCAAAUUGUUGCUCUAUUGAGGUUGUUCGAUUAUUAUUUUUUUUGUUGAAAAAAUUACAAAGUAAUCGUAUUAAGAUGGAUGCGUCCCCGGAAAUGAUAUGUUGUAGUUUAUUCUUUAUUAUUUUCGAAUCCAUAGACGCUAAUACGUAUGAAAGUCUGUAACUUUUUAACUGUGAUGACCUAUUCCGCCGAUAAUACAUUUUCGGAAAGCUCUAAAGAAGUUACAAUAUGGCAAUGGGUCUUCGUUCCUUUGGGUCGACCCCAAAUUUUGACGUUUAGGGUGUUUCCUUGAGGUUUUUGUGAUUUGGUAGAGAUUAAAGGAUCGAAAAAAGUGUUCGGACAUGAUUUAUGCGUCUUUACCGUAUAAAAGAGCACGUUGAAGCUGGCUACAGCGGUCCACGUACCAAGUGGGACCUAUUACAAAUGAUAUCAUGAAUCCACGGCAAAUUGUAUACAAUGUACUAACGGAUGCGAUCAUACCGGCACUAAUGCACCGGAUCCCAUAAGAAAUCCGCAGAUAUGCGUGCUUGGGCGAGAGUAGUACUAGGAUUAGUGACCUCCAGGGAAAUCCUAGUGUUGCAUCCCUUUUUAUUUUUAUUUUUUCUUAUAACUUCUCAUUUUUUGUUUAAACAACUAGAACCAUUAUAAUUCAACUUGUUGCUCUAUUGAGGUUGUUCGAUUAUUUUUAUUUUUUUGAAAAAACUACAAACUAAUCGUACUAAGAUGGAUGCGUCCCCGGAUAUGCUUUGUUGUAGUAUAUUAUUUAUUAUUUCGAUUCCAAAGACGCUAAUACGUACGGAACACCGUAACUUUUAAACCGUCAGGACCUAUUCCGCCGAUAAUACCUUUUCAGAAAGCUCUCGAAAGUUACUGAAUUGCAAUGUGUCUUCGUUCUUCAGGGCCUUAUUUUUGAACCCAAAUUUUGACGUUUAGGGUGUUUCCAUGAGGAUUUUGGGAUUUGGAAGAGAUUAAAGGAUCCGAAAACGUGUUCAGACAUGAUUUAUGCGUCUUUUAGGAAUAGAAGAGCAUGUUGAAGCUGGCUAAAAUGGUCCUCGUAUCAAGUGGGACCCAUUACAAAUGAUCUCUUGAAUCCGUGGUAAAGGAUAUAUGCGAUUGCAUGCAAUGUACUAACAUAUGCGAUCAGUCCAGCACUAAUGCACCGGAUCCCAUCAUAACUCCGCAGUUAAGCGUACUUGUGCAAGAGUAGUUCUAGGUUGGGUGACUUCCAGGGAAGUCCUCGUGUUGCAUCCCUUUUUAUUUUUAUUUUUUCUUAAAACUUCUCAUUUUUGGUUUAAACAACUAGUAUCAUUAUAAUUCAACUUGUUGCUCUAUUGAGGUUGUUCGAUUAUUUUAUUUUUGUUGAAAAAACUACAACGUAAUCGUAUUAAGAUGGAUGCGAACCGGAAAUGCUAUGUUGUAGUUUAUUCUUUAUUAUUUUCGAUUCCACAGACGCUAACACGUACGAAACGCGGUAACUUUUAAACCGUGAGGACAUAUUCCGGCAAUAAUACCUUUUCGGAAAGCUCUCGAAAAGUUACAAAGUGGCGAUCGGUCUCUGUUCCUUCGAGCCUCAUUUUCGACCCUAUAUUAUGACGUUUAGGGUGUUUCCAUGAGGUUUUUGUGAUUAAAGGAUCGAAAAAAGUGUUCGGACAUGAUUUAUGCGUCUUGACCAAAUAAAAGAGCACGUUGAAGCUGGCUAAAGCGGUCCACGUAUCAAGUGGGACCCACUAAAAAGAACUCUUGAGUCCGCGGUAAAGGAUAUAUGCGAUUGUAUGCAAUGUACUAAAGGAUGCGAUCAAACCAGCAUUAAUGCACGAUCCCAUUAGAACUCCGCAGUCAAGCGUGCUUGGGCGAGAGUAGUACUAGGAUGGGUGACCUCCCGGGAAAUCCUCUUGUUGCAUCCCUUUUUUGUUUUUUUCUUUUAACCUCUCAUUUUUGUUUAACCAACUAGUACCAUUAUAAUUCAAAUUGUUGCUCUAUUGAGUUUGUUCGAUUAUUAUUUUUUUGUUGAAAAAACUACAAAGUAAUCGUAUUAAGAUGGAUGCGUCCCCGGAAAUGAUAUGUUGUAGUUUAUUCUUUAUUAAUUUUGAUUUCAUAGACGCAAAUACCUACGAAAGUCUGUAACUUUUUAACUGUGAUGACCUUUUCCGCCGAUAAUACAUUUUCGGAAAGCUCUAAAAAAGUUACAAUAUGGCAAUGGGUCUUCGUUCCUUUGGGUCGACCCCAAAUUUUGACGUUUAGGGUGUUUCCUUGAGGUUUUUAUGGUCGGUAGAGAUUAAAGGAUCGAAAAAAGUGUUCGGACAUGAUUUAUGCGUCUUUACCGUAUAAAAGAGCACGUUGAAGCUGGCUACAGCGGUCCACGUACCAAGUGGGACCCAUUACAAAUGAUAUCAUGAAUCCACGGUAACUUGUAUGCAAUGUACUAACGGAUGGGAUCAUACCGGCACUAAUGCACCGGAUCCCAUAAGAAAUCCGCAGAUAAGCGUGUUUGGCUGAGAGUAGUACUAGGAUUGUUGACCUCCAGGGAAGUCCUAGUGUUGCAUCCCUUUUUAUUUUUAUUUUUUCUUAUAACUUCUCAUUUUUUGUUUAAACAACUAGAACCAUUAUAAUUCAACUUAUUGCUCUAUUGAGGUUGUUCGAUUAUUUUUAUUUUUUUCAAAAAACUACAAACUAAUCGUACUAAGAUGGAUGCGUCCUCGGAAAUGCUUUGUUGUAGUAUAUUAUUUAUUAUUUCGAUUCCAAAGACGCUAAUACGUACGGAACUUCGUAAUUUUUAAACCGUCAUGACCUAUUCCGCCG